UUAAGCGACUAAGCGUACACGGUGGAUGCCCUGGCAGUCAGAGGCGAUGAAGGACGUGCUAAUCUGCGAUAAGCGUCGGUAAGGUGAUAUGAACCGUUAUAACCGGCGAUUUCCGAAUGGGGAAACCCAGUGUGUUUCGACACACUAUCAUUAACUGAAUCCAUAGGUUAAUGAGGCGAACCGGGGGAACUGAAACAUCUAAGUACCCCGAGGAAAAGAAAUCAACCGAGAUUCCCCCAGUAGCGGCGAGCGAACGGGGAGCAGCCCAGAGCCUGAAUCAGUGUGUGUGUUAGUGGAAGCGUCUGGAAAGGCGCGCGAUACAGGGUGACAGCCCCGUACACAAAAAUGCACAUAUUGUGAGCUCGAUGAGUAGGGCGGGACACGUGGUAUCCUGUCUGAAUAUGGGGGGACCAUCCUCCAAGGCUAAAUACUCCUGACUGACCGAUAGUGAACCAGUACCGUGAGGGAAAGGCGAAAAGAACCCCGGCGAGGGGAGUGAAAAAGAACCUGAAACCGUGUACGUACAAGCAGUGGGAGCACGCUUAGGCGUGUGACUGCGUACCUUUUGUAUAAUGGGUCAGCGACUUAUAUUCUGUAGCAAGGUUAACCGAAUAGGGGAGCCGAAGGGAAACCGAGUCUUAACUGGGCGUUAAGUUGCAGGGUAUAGACCCGAAACCCGGUGAUCUAGCCAUGGGCAGGUUGAAGGUUGGGUAACACUAACUGGAGGACCGAACCGACUAAUGUUGAAAAAUUAGCGGAUGACUUGUGGCUGGGGGUGAAAGGCCAAUCAAACCGGGAGAUAGCUGGUUCUCCCCGAAAGCUAUUUAGGUAGCGCCUCGUGAAUUCAUCUCCGGGGGUAGAGCACUGUUUCGGCAAGGGGGUCAUCCCGACUUACCAACCCGAUGCAAACUGCGAAUACCGGAGAAUGUUAUCACGGGAGACACACGGCGGGUGCUAACGUCCGUCGUGAAGAGGGAAACAACCCAGACCGCCAGCUAAGGUCCCAAAGUCAUGGUUAAGUGGGAAACGAUGUGGGAAGGCCCAGACAGCCAGGAUGUUGGCUUAGAAGCAGCCAUCAUUUAAAGAAAGCGUAAUAGCUCACUGGUCGAGUCGGCCUGCGCGGAAGAUGUAACGGGGCUAAACCAUGCACCGAAGCUGCGGCAGCGACGCUUAUGCGUUGUUGGGUAGGGGAGCGUUCUGUAAGCCUGUGAAGGUGUGCUGUGAGGCAUGCUGGAGGUAUCAGAAGUGCGAAUGCUGACAUAAGUAACGAUAAAGCGGGUGAAAAGCCCGCUCGCCGGAAGACCAAGGGUUCCUGUCCAACGUUAAUCGGGGCAGGGUGAGUCGACCCCUAAGGCGAGGCCGAAAGGCGUAGUCGAUGGGAAACAGGUUAAUAUUCCUGUACUUGGUGUUACUGCGAAGGGGGGACGGAGAAGGCUAUGUUGGCCGGGCGACGGUUGUCCCGGUUUAAGCGUGUAGGCUGGUUUUCCAGGCAAAUCCGGAAAAUCAAGGCUGAGGCGUGAUGACGAGGCACUACGGUGCUGAAGCAACAAAUGCCCUGCUUCCAGGAAAAGCCUCUAAGCAUCAGGUAACAUCAAAUCGUACCCCAAACCGACACAGGUGGUCAGGUAGAGAAUACCAAGGCGCUUGAGAGAACUCGGGUGAAGGAACUAGGCAAAAUGGUGCCGUAACUUCGGGAGAAGGCACGCUGAUAUGUAGGUGAAGUCCCUCGCGGAUGGAGCUGAAAUCAGUCGAAGAUACCAGCUGGCUGCAACUGUUUAUUAAAAACACAGCACUGUGCAAACACGAAAGUGGACGUAUACGGUGUGACGCCUGCCCGGUGCCGGAAGGUUAAUUGAUGGGGUCAGCGCAAGCGAAGCUCUUGAUCGAAGCCCCGGUAAACGGCGGCCGUAACUAUAACGGUCCUAAGGUAGCGAAAUUCCUUGUCGGGUAAGUUCCGACCUGCACGAAUGGCGUAAUGAUGGCCAGGCUGUCUCCACCCGAGACUCAGUGAAAUUGAACUCGCUGUGAAGAUGCAGUGUACCCGCGGCAAGACGGAAAGACCCCGUGAACCUUUACUAUAGCUUGACACUGAACAUUGAGCCUUGAUGUGUAGGAUAGGUGGGAGGCUUUGAAGUGUGGACGCCAGUCUGCAUGGAGCCGACCUUGAAAUACCACCCUUUAAUGUUUGAUGUUCUAACGUUGACCCGUAAUCCGGGUUGCGGACAGUGUCUGGUGGGUAGUUUGACUGGGGCGGUCUCCUCCUAAAGAGUAACGGAGGAGCACGAAGGUUGGCUAAUCCUGGUCGGACAUCAGGAGGUUAGUGCAAUGGCAUAAGCCAGCUUGACUGCGAGCGUGACGGCGCGAGCAGGUGCGAAAGCAGGUCAUAGUGAUCCGGUGGUUCUGAAUGGAAGGGCCAUCGCUCAACGGAUAAAAGGUACUCCGGGGAUAACAGGCUGAUACCGCCCAAGAGUUCAUAUCGACGGCGGUGUUUGGCACCUCGAUGUCGGCUCAUCACAUCCUGGGGCUGAAGUAGGUCCCAAGGGUAUGGCUGUUCGCCAUUUAAAGUGGUACGCGAGCUGGGUUUAGAACGUCGUGAGACAGUUCGGUCCCUAUCUGCCGUGGGCGCUGGAGAACUGAGGGGGGCUGCUCCUAGUACGAGAGGACCGGAGUGGACGCAUCACUGGUGUUCGGGUUGUCAUGCCAAUGGCACUGCCCGGUAGCUAAAUGCGGAAGAGAUAAGUGCUGAAAGCAUCUAAGCACGAAACUUGCCCCGAGAUGAGUUCUCCCUGACUCCUUGAGAGUCCUGAAGGAACGUUGAAGACGACGACGUUGAUAGGCCGGGUGUGUAAGCGCAGCGAUGCGUUGAGCUAACCGGUACUAAUGAACCGUGAGGCUUAACCUU
rnacentral:rRNA from 1 species